AUGGGAAAACAUGCGUUUGCUGAGCACCUACUAGCGCAAAGCACUGUGGAGAAAUUUAAAAUGUGGACCCUCCCCUCACCAAGCUUCAACUCCAAAAGCGUGAGAAAAAGAGAGAUUUGUCUCAACUGGAGCACGAAGAAGAGGUUCUUAGGGGAGGUAUUUCUGAUGUUCUUUGGAGAACAGAGGACAGACAACAGGAUAAUUGAAAAAACAAGGACGCCUGGGUGGCUCGGUGGUUGAGCAUCUGCCUUCAGCUCAGGUCGUCGUGAUCCCAGGGGUCCUGGGAUCGAGUCCCGCAUCAGGCUCCCUGUGAGGAGCCUGCUUCUCCCUCUGCCUGUGUCUCUGCCUCUCUCUCUGGGCCUCUCAUGAAUAAAUAAAUAAAAUCAUUAAAAAAAAAAGAAUUGAAGAAACAGGUGCAGAGAGGUCUCCUGGUGUGCUUAGGAUCACACAGAAACCAGGUCUCCCUUGGAUGGCGGACCUCCAGCCUCUUCAUCCAGAGCUCUGCCGUCGGCUGCCAGCAACCCAUCCCUCUGGUGCCUGCGUGAAGUAUUUGCUCUUCUCCGGUGGUCGUUUUGUUACAUAAUCGAUAAACCACUAACAGAAGUAUAAGGCUUCCAGAUACACUGCUGAGUCCCUGCCUGGAAAACUGUCCGCUUUGCCCUCCUUAAAACCCUCCUGGCUUCUCAUUGCACCUGGGGGAAAACACCCACUUGGCAUCGAAUCUCUGCAAAACUGCUUGUUAACUUAUCCUGACCCCUGAAUUACUUUGGCUUAUUUUGGUCUCAAGUAGCUACGUUGAGUCCAAAAAAAAAAAAAAAGUGGAGGUAAGAGGGGCUGAUGGAUUUCUCGGGAGGCUCUACAGGCACAUCACAGAUCAAGGAAGGGGAAUUGAAUAAACAAUAAUUAAUCUGAAGGACAGGUCCAAGGUCCCACAGAAGCCUGCUGCCUUCCAGGGGCAGGGCUACUGUGACCAGUUCCUGGGUCUCUCCAUGACAUUUGUGAUCCUAGAAGGCACUGGAUGGCCUCAGCUUGAGCCGGGAGUGCAUUGGCCCCUGCUCAGAUCUCAGAUCUGGGGGACGGAAUACAACACCACAUGGUAUGAACUGGGUGGUUCCCCAUGAAGGUAAAAUCUUCUUGGGGGAUGGAGCUGCUAAUGCCCUGCCAGAUAGAAUUGGCCAUCUGUCCCCCGUAAUCCUCUAACUCAAUCACAGCACCUCUUUGUCUUUCCAUCAUUUCUUGACAUGUGUUUCCCCUUCGUUGGACAGUGGGCUCUUCAAGGACGUGGCCUCAACUUAUCCAGCUUGGCACGCUACCACAGAGGUCCCCAGUUGCCAUCUUCCCUUCUUCUACACUAGCUAGGCUCAUCGCCUCCCAAAGUAAUGCCAUGUCCCACUCUACUUUGCUGCUUGGGGUGACCGCAUGAUAAAGGUCUGACCAAUGCAUAAGAAUAGAGAUGGCAUGAGCAACUGCCAGUC
rnacentral:lncRNA from 1 species